AAUGACAUGGUACUGCAAGAUUAGAAUGGUAUAAGUAAUUUGAAUUUCUUUUAGGAUUUCCCAAUGUGAUUGGCUGCAUUGAUGGCACACAGUCCAUUCACAGCAUUAAUGUGCAGAUCAUAUGUGAUGCUGCAUAUCUUAUAACCAACGUGGAGGCCAAAUGGCCUUGGUCUGUGCAUGACUCGUGGAUAUAUCGUGAGUCUGCCCUGAACAACAGACUGGAACUUGCCUGCCUAUGGUCCCCCAGUGGCUAGAAAUGGCGAUAGGUGUAAACCGAGCCC